GAUGAACGCUGGCGGCGUGCCUAAUACAUGCAAGUCGAGCGAAUGGAUUAAGAGCUUGCUCUUAUGAAGUUAGCGGCGGACGGGUGAGUAACACGUGGGUAACCUGCCCAUAAGACUGGGAUAACUCCGGGAAACCGGGGCUAAUACCGGAUAACAUUUUGAACCGCAUGGUUCGAAAUUGAAAGGCGGCUUCGGCUGUCACUUAUGGAUGGACCCGCAUCGCAUUAGCUAGUUGGUGAGGUAACGGCUCAACAAGGCAACGAUGCGUAGCCGACCUGAGAGGGUGAUCGGCCACACUGGGACUGAGACACGGCCCAGACUCCUACGGGAGGCAUCAGUAGGGAAUCUUCCGCAAUGGACGAAAGUCUGACAGAGCAACGCCGCGUGAGUGAUGAAGGCUUUCGGGUCGUAAAACUCUGUUGUUAGGGAAGAACAAGUGCUAGUUGAAUAAGCUGGCACCUUGACGGUACCUAACCAGAAAGCCACGGCUAACUACGUGCCAGCCGCCGCGGUAA
rnacentral:rRNA from 1 species